GGGCUCAAAUCUAUGAACUGUGACAUCAUGACCUGAACCAAAGUUGGACACUUAACCAAGUGAGCCACCCAGGCUUCCCAAGAGCCCAUGUUCUUUAUACUGGACCACAUUGUCCUCUGACCCCAGUUGGUGCUUUAUAUACUGAAAAGCCCUGUAGAGAAACUGGAAAUGAAACCGAGGAACACGGGUUGGCGUGCUUGUAGUUCUGACGCAAUGCAACGUGCACACAUCACUAGCCUCACCGAAAUUCAAACAAAAGGCAACUGCAGCUCCGAACAGUGCUUGCCAGAACGCUGGAAACGGACGUGUGUUUACAGCGUAAGUGCAAGUAGAGUGCAUCUGGGAACAAAGAGGCAGGUAUUUGAAGCAUUCAAGAGUCUCUGCUUCCUUCUCUGCAAGACAGCAGUGAUAAUAAUACCUCAAGAUCUCACAUCAAGACUGUUGUGAGCACCAAGUGGAAUCGUUUCUACUGUGGAGAAGCAAACACUUCAGUUUCAGUCAGUCUGACUUAUUUUGGAGUAUGGCUUCUUCUGAGCCCUUUGGCCAGUCAGUGGACUGCACUCGUUCCAUGAGGGACAGAUGUAGCUUUUUUAAUAGAUUCAAACACCAUUGUAGUUUACCCAGGGCUCCUCAGGGUUGACUCUAAAGGGUGCCCCUUGUUUGAAUGGUCUUUGGCCUGAAGAGGGCCCAGCAACAGCUUGUAGGCAAAGACUUGUUGUCCUCUGAGGGCCCUCCCUGGAUACUGCACGCAGCUGCUGCCCCCAGUAGCAUGAACUGUGGCUUUGUCGACAAUGAGAGCUUGAAAACUUUAUGUAUCUUGUUUUCCAGUGAUACUCAAGAAUUCAACAAACCCAGUUGGUAGGAAGCUAAGUUACUGGUCUGGCAAAGGAUUGAGCAGAAAAACCUAAAAUUGUGAAACACCUACACAUUCGUUUGAACCAGAACUGGCCUCCAGGGGGCGCUUCAGUACAGCGAACGGCAGCUGCUGGCAGCACCUCCGGCGAUAUCCUUAUAUAAGGGGGAUUCACGGAAAUCAGGCUUCUCUAGCUGCACGAUACAGGGAAGAUCUGGCCUUUGUCACUGUUCAAGCUAGGACCCUGAAGAGGUCAGGGGGCGCAGGGGGCUGCAAAAGCUCCUGGCUCCAAGCAAAGGAACAUACAUAGGUUUAGGCUCCGGCCGCGACGGAGCCCAGAGCAGCUUGGCCAGGGCAGCAAGGUUUGGGCUUGGCCUGCUGGGAUAACGAGCCCAGAGCUUCAGGCUGCGUCUUCUUACAUCCAGGAGGCCUUGCCCAGCCUCACAGCCCCAGACGAGGCGCUUAGAUUGGCCGGCAGCCUGCCCAAGAUCUGCAGACGUGGUAGAUAGCACCUGGGUUGAAAUCCUCUCCCUCUGCUCCCCCACACACCUCAUUCUCGCCCUCUCCUAUUUACAAAGCACUUUUUCUUGUGUGAUCUCAUUUGCUGCUCACAAAUUCCCCGGGAGGCGGGACAGGGUGGGGCCCUCCCUUGCUCUCAGGAGCCCUGGGAGGACACAGUGCAUCAUGAAGAUCCCCUUCCUGGUCUGUCUCUCCCAGCAAAUCUCAAGUUCCCUGGGGGCAACUACUGAAUUCAAUGUGGUGGUUUCAGGGCUUAGUGCUAGGUGCUUGGCACGCUGGAGGUGUUCAAAAUUGUUUACUGAAUGAAUAAAUAUAUAUGUUUAAAUUUUUUAAUGUUUGUUUAUUUCUGAG